AUUGUUACAGGUCGCUAGUCCCGUUGACUCCAAUAGAGGUCGUCAAUCUCAAGCCAGAGGAAGUCGGGGAGCCCGCGGUGGUCGUGUUCGUGGUUCAAGACGCUCCACCAGAACGGAUGAGGAGGAAUUUGGCAGUUGUAUAAUUGACAAUGAACUCCUCAUCCAGAUGGUGGAGGACAGACCACCACUGUGGGACCACACGGACCGCCGCCAUGCUGACCAUCAUGGUACCCGGCUCCUCUGGCUUGAGAUAUGCGAAGUCUUGGUGGCUAAUUGGGACGACCUCAAUGAGAGUCAACGGGAGGAGUGCCGGACUACAAUCCUGGUGCGGUGGCGGUCAAUGAGGGACCGCUAUAAGAAGGACUACAACGAGGAGGUCAAGCGCCCGAGUGGUU